CCUACGGGAGGCAGCAGUGGGGAAUAUUGCACAAUGGGGGAAACCCUGAUGCAGCGACGCCGCGUGAGUGAAGAAGUAUUUCGGUAUGUAAAGCUCUAUCAGCAGGGAAGAAAAUGACGGUACCUGAUUAAGAAGCCCCGGCUAACUACGUGCCAGCAGCCGCGGUAAUACGUAGGGGGCAAGCGUUAUCCGGAUUUACUGGGUGUAAAGGGAGCGUAGACGGCAGCGCAAGUCUGGAGUGAAAUGCCAGGGCUUAACCCCGGGACUGCUUUGGAAACUGUUCAGCUAGAGUGCAGGAGAGGUAAGUGGAAUUCCUAGGGUAGCGGUGAAAGGCGUAGAUAUUAGGAGGAACACCAGUGGCGAAGGCGGCUUGAUGGACUGUAACUGACGUUGAGGCUUGAAAGCGUGGGGAGCAAUCAGGAUUAGAUACCCCUGUAGUC
rnacentral:rRNA from 1 species